rnacentral:rRNA from 1 species
UACGUAGGUGGCAAGCGUUGUUCGGAAUUAUUGGGCGUAAAGGGCGCGUAGGCGGUUUGGUAAGUCAGCUGUGAAAGCCCGGGGCUCAACCCCGGAGGGUCGGCUGAUACUGCUAGGCUAGAGUACGGAAGAGGUAGCUGGAAUUCCCGGUGUAGCGGUGAAAUGCGUAGAUAUCGGAAAGAACACCAAGGGCGAAGGCACUCUGCUGGGCCGAAACUGACACUGAGAGACGAGAGCUAGGGGAGCAAAUGGG